GUACUGAUGAAGAGUCCAAAACUAGGACGAGACAGCUGUCCAGUAC
rfam:Trichobilharzia regenti genome assembly, scaffold: TRE_scaffold0051768